rnacentral:lncRNA from 10 species
GUGGGUGUUCAGCCACUGACUGUAUGUGUAUAUCUUUGUCAUUGUUGUUAUCAGUAUUAUGGUGAUGACUUUCUCUGACUUUUAUGCAUUUAGGCUAAAGGAACCUGGAAAAACACAUGAAUCAAAAUAAAAGUUGAUUCACCUUUCCAGGGCAGAGUUACAAGCGUCAAAACUCUCAGGCGAGAUCUGCCAGUGACGUUCUGACCGCAUGCCUCUCUGCAAGGAAAGUGGUAUGUGUUGUUUUUUCCAGCAGUGGAAAUACAAAUGAUUAACUCUGGAAACCAUGGCUGUUUCACUGAUAACUAAUUUGUUUGCUGAUAAAUGAUUACCCAGGAGCCAGAAUAGAGACCCAAAAGUCAAACUGCAAAAAUUAUUAAGUUCCCUCUGUAUGCAGAAUAUUGUGCAACAUGGUUAUGGGUACUACAGUGGAUGUGAGUGUGUAGACCUUGUACAAUAGAGCUUAUAGGCUAAUGAGAAGACAGGAAGAAACAACAGGAACACAUAUAGCUGGAAUGCAGAUGGGAUCUGUGCUACUUACGCUAGCCAUGGGAUGAUUAGAACAAGAUAAGAGACAUGAGGAAGACUUCUUCAAGGAGGUGCUCAAGCCAUGUUUUGGAAAAGAGAACUCAAGGUCUGGCAGGGAGAAAGGAGCAAGGGCAAGUAGAGCUGCAGCUGUCUGGCGCCACUGUAAUGCUGUCUCCUCCUCUGAGUGAGUUCAUCCUGGAAACAUUUUCUCCCAUAAGACAUGCACAGGUCUUACGUUUACAUGUUUCACUGAAAGAAAUUUGAUUCCACUGCUGGGAUGACAAGGAAGACUGAAGAAACCUAAUCCUAGGUGCUGCCACUGGGACAAACAAGAAGCACCAGACACAGUGCUGUUUUAGGGUGGGGCAGAAUUAUGCUGAGGGAAAAGUUAUUAUCACUCUUUAAGGCCAAGGAAACCACAAUUUUUAAAGAAGCUUCUAGAAAUUCUACCCAGUAGAAAAUAAAGAUAAACUUCUGUAAGGAAUUUCAUUCUUUUCAGAAUUCGCAAUCUGAAAUGUAGAAGCCCAUUCCUUCAUGGUUCUCAUAGAUAUUUAGUGUGACUGAGGGGUCAGUGGACUCAUAGCACUCAGGCCAGGCUUCUCCUGAGUCCCUUUCUUUGGCACAGAGGGAGUGAUUCACAGAUCCUCUACCCCCAAAGGCAUUGUUUCCUCAUCUCAACAAGAAUCCAGCACCCGUCAUUUUAUCAGCACACGUCACUAGCUUCUCAAGUGAGACUACUCUGAAGUGAUCUGUGUUUGAAGAAUGCCUUUCCCUUUCCCUUACGUAACUAAGAGGAUGAAAAAGGACACUCACUCCCUAUAUGAAAGCUGUGUAUUGUAAGCAGUCAUCUUGCCUGGCUGAGAACUCUAGGAUCUUUUUCUCUGCUCUCCUUUAGGCUGACACUCAUAGCCAGACCUUCUGUUUAUUAGCCCCCUGAAUCUAUUUGAAAAUAUUUUUGCUUUCAUUAUAAUAUAAGUCACAUUCUUCUUGCAUCUGCCGCUGCAUUUUCCAAAAGGGUUAUGUCAAGGGAAAUUCAACACUCACUUUUCUCAUUAUUUGCUUACCAGCUUGCUCACUCAUCAAAAUACCAGAGUUAUUUGAUACUUCAGAAGAUUAUUUCCCCCUUUAGAUGAUGUGUCAAGGGAAGGGGAGCUGGCCCCAGUAUCAGGUGACAGAAUUUUCUUCGCAUUUCUACUGUUGACUCAAUAAAUGCCCUUGGGCAAGUCAUGGAGCCUCUUCAUACUUUGGUCUCUAGGGAUAAAAUCUGCCAACCGCAGCAUGUGUAUUUGAACCUCAGUGUCCUCUGGAAUAAAAAUAGGAGGGGACCAGGUGUCCAUGUGACCCCAAGCUGAUGGGAAGAGGAUGACCAUAGGACUUCAAAAUGUCCUUGAGCUGUAAAUUCUGUAAUAGGGUCAGGCCCACCAGUGGCCUUCAGGCAUUUGUCCAGUGGUGUAUGGAUAAGUUCUAGCACUUGAGUUUUUUCAGCACAAAGGAGGCACUAUGUCAACCUCCCACCCAUGGGUAUUCUGUUUGCUCUGUGUCCCCGCUUCUCUGCAUUUCCCUGCCAUAUUACUCACCACUGGUCGUAAUUACUUGCUUGAUCACUUGUCUCCUGGUCUGUAAGCUGUUUGAGGGAGGGGAGCACAUCUGCCCUAUGCAACACUGUACCCUCAGUGUGGUACACAGGAGCACAUGCCUGACAUAUGGAAGUUAUGUGAGAAACAUUUGUGAAGUGGACAAAUUAAUAAUGCUGCCUGGACUCUAUAGAAAUCCCUUUUCUGCAUCAUUAAGGUUCCCAAGCCUGGCCAAGAAGUAGUGGGAUCUGAUUAGCCUCAUCUCCUCAUAACCCUACUUCCUAUAAUAUUAUAAUGAAAGCAGAUCUCAGCCCAAAUGCUGGCACACAUACAUAUUUAUCAGUAAGAAGAUCCAAAAUCGUUCAUGCAGCUGGUUCUGUAAGCUUGGCAAAUUUCCAGCCCUCUGAACUUUUCAGUGCUUUGUCCACACUCUACAUGAAAGGGCCUCUUAAGAGUGACAGGGCAGUAUUCUAAAGACCAGAUUUUAAUUGCACCAGGUAACUGAAUUGUCUGAAUUCACAGCUGAACACAGGACAAGGUCAGAAUCAUAUUUCUUAUGCCAUUUAGAAAGGUGACAAGUGAAGGGCUGGCCAAAAUCUUACACCCAGCUUACGUAAGAGUAGAGACUGUCCCUAAUGCUUUCCCCAGUCCACUUGUCUCGAACACCAUUAGGUUCAAUAGUAAAAGCCCAUUUCUCACUUGCUUCAUGUUAAUUGACUGAUCACUAAUUUUACCAAUAAGAAGCCAUUUUUAUUAUUUAUCAUUAUGAUUUUUAUCAUUUUGUUAAUUAGCCAAGCUUCUGCUGUUGACUCCAGAUAAAGAGAGUUAAAGCACUUGGGGUGACCACCUAAGUAGAUUUUUUCAUGGUGAACAAAUGGAAGCAACAGAAACAGCUCAGACUUUUGAAAAGUGAUGAAAAAGGCCCAUGAUGCCCUGCUCCUUGAAAAUGAAGAAGAGGAUGACUUAGCCCUGCAGGGCUCUUUUCUUUGCAUGUUCUUACCAACCCUCAGGGGAGAUUCAGUCUACUAGCUGGCUUCCCCACGUGGACCUCACUCUGUGGCAAGUAACUGGGAGUAAUUUACCUUCUGGGUUCUCUUACAACCCCCUUAGCUAUGUAGGUGAUUUCAGGCCCAAGGGGGAAGAUAUCAGAUAAGCCAGAACAUUUUGAUUCUACUGACCGAGUUUCCUCACCUCCCUCCCUUUGUUUCUGAUAAAUACAUACGUUAAGGUCAGCUGAAGAGUUGUCUGUGAUAAUUGCCCUGAAUCCUCACUCACUCCUCUGAAUUUCUGUCUUCUGUAGCCUCUUAGCCAUGUUGCAGGUGAAGGUCUCAAGUCAUUUGCACCACUAGGAAUCGUUUGUGUUAUUGUGACUGAUAUAUGUCCUCAGAGUUGUAUCAGUGUUGUCCCCUACACACACAUGCACAUACAUGCACCACACAAUAUGCACGUUCUAUAAGACAGAGCCUCUAUUUUUGGUGUCUGCUUAGCCCUCCAGUUUCCCAUUGGGAUUAGUUGUUUUCUCCAAGCUUCAGACAACUUGGAGAUCCUGCCUAACUUUGGUUGCUCUUCCUUGUCAGACUGGAACUUACCCUCAGUAUGGUACAACCAAUCACUGGCUCUCAGGGAACUCAUCACCCUGAACUAUGCCUGACAGGACAGGAGCACCAUCAUCUCGGACAAACACUGCCACUUUAAGUUCCAGCUCCCUUUCUAGCCUCAGGCAUUUCAAGAAAAUCACUUGUCUUCUCAUUACAAGCAGUCAGAAAGAGCAGACAGUAAAAUACAGAUAAGACGGGCACAGAGGGAAGUGGGAGGAAAGUCUCUUGGGUAACUGCCAAACUUCACCCUCAUACAAUGGGCCCCAGUAAAACAGUGGGCCUUAAUAAGCACAUUCCUUUCCUUUCAGGUGCACUAAGAUAGGAAGGCUAAAGGCAGAUUGGGGGGAUAUGCCUGCAGCUACAGAAAGAUGUAUGGGAACAGACACACAACUCUCCCUCCCAAAUAAGCACAACAGAGAGACACAGAAGCAGUCCAAGCCUCUGAUAAACUCUCCCACCCUGAAUCUUUAAAAACUCUUAGUCUGCAAGAGAGUGUGGCUUCUGACCUAACUCGAUCAGAAGUCCCUCCCAGGUUUAAAAUAAACCUGUUAACUGUUGAGCCACCCUUCGUGUUUCUCUCCUCUUUCUUUAAUUCUUACAAUGCCUUCCUGAUGGCUGACUGCCAGGAAACCCCUUGGAUACAAUAGCCUGAAGCUGCUUACUCCCCUGGGUGUUGCCCUCCUGGCUACCCAUGGAAGAGCAAGCCCUGUUGACAAGAGCUUCCCCCAGCUCUAAUCCUACCUGGUUAUGGUUUAUUUUCUUUCCCCACCAUCUGGGCAGUUAUGUUGGCCCAAGGAAUUUGACUCAGUAUUAUCAUAGCAUAGAGCUAAUUUUAUAUGUAUUUAUUUCCAUGGUAAACAAGUUAUUCCCAUUGUCUGUCAUUCCCACUAAGCCUGCUAGGGACAGCCCAAAGGAGCAGCUCUAAGUGAGGAUACUUUGCCCUGUAUGACCCCGUCCCUAGAGCAGAUUGGUUCAUGGUUGACACCUAACAAAAAGACAGCCAAUCGAUAGGUUGGUCAGCAACUUUUCUCAUAACCUGACGCAUACAUAAAAGCUGGGUUAAACGCCAUUUCUACCUUGGAAAUUUAACCAAAGAAAGGUCAAGAAAAAGCGAAAAGACUUGGGAGGAUGCUUUGAAAUGAAAAGAUAAGAAUUGGAGCUACAGUAGGUUGUAAGAAGCCCCGGUUGCAAAAUAUUGAAACUAUGAGCAAGCUGUAGUGAUGGUGGAGAGAAGAGUUUCAGGCCAAGGGAAAGAAGCAGCUCAGAGGAGACUGAGCUAGGCCAGUGGACAUGGCCCCCUAACUCCUGCCACAGAGCCCUGGAGUCUCCUGGAGCCAGAGUGGCUCCUCAGUCCCAGGGCAGUGAGGCCUAUCCCUUCCAAUGCCUCUUCCUUCCUUCUGUGGAAGACCAACUCCAUUGAUGUUCCAUGUUUAUCUCCCUCCUGAGCUAACCUAGCUGAGUCUGCUCCUUACAAUCAAGAAAACCCACCCACUUUACUGGAUUCUCUCUGUGUGCAGCGAUGGUGGCAUAUAUCUUUGUAGCUUUUUGCCUCUAAUAUAAUGCAUUAUAAGGGUCCUCUUCUCCCUGAAGGCUGUCACAGUUCCUGUGCAGAGAGAGAGGGCACUGCAGCACCCAGGCGCUGACUGCCUUUUGUCAGUCUCAUUUGCAGGCCCCCAGCUGGAGAACCCAGGAGGAAGAGGAAAAAAGUUUUUUCCUCCUCUACACUCCCCAUGCAUGACUAAAGAGUAGGAGGAGUCAGCAAGGCAGACAUAUAUAGUACCCAGGAGGUGGACAAACAACUGCCUUGGUGGAAACUCUGUCCUUUCUGGACUUAUCCUGGUGCCACUGAGACUGUGCAGGUCCCACACUUACAGGGAAAGCAUCACCCGAAAGUGAGAAUGCCUAGAGGCAGGAAUCAUGGAGGCUUCCUUAACCGUCUGUCUGCAACAGCAGGUGCUAGAGAUGACACUGCAGAGUAGAGAACAAAGGAAUCUUAGUAAUUGUUCAAUCCAAUCUCCACACUUUAAAGAUGAAGAAACUGGUAUUGAGAAAAAUACACAGCUUAUCCAAGGUUGCACUGCUGGUUGGUAGCUGAGAUGAAUUUAGAACCCACAUCUGAUGACUACACCAUAUUGCUCCCAGUUUUCCUGUCUGUUCCACAUGUAAAAGUCUGACUCUUCACUUCUCCUUUGAGUAUAUAGACUUUUAACAUUUUUGUAUGUCAAGAUGGACUUUUCCUCAUACCCAGCCCCUGCCUUUUCUCCUCCCUUCAUACCUUGCAGGAUCUUUAACAGAAUUUAAAAGGAGUUUUUUGUUUUGUUUUGAUGUAUCUAAUAAAAGUCAAGGGAGGGAGAGGGCCAGUAUAAGCAAGAGUACAGUUUCCUAGUUUGUAGAUGCGGUAGUCUGAGGAAUCAGAAACACACAAAGGUUUGGAGAACUGGUACAUGCUCCCAGGUGGGAAGCCAGGACUCUUGGUAGGAUCUUGAGGACAAGGCAAAGGACAAUAAGAGAGCGAGGGGAUCCUAGAGGUGGAAUCAAGGAAGAGAAACUAGAGAGAGAAAAAGGAACUGGCUAUCCAUCCAUGAUGGAUCCUGUGUGGACUGAUGGGUGGCUUGGCAUCAUCCUUUAGUAGACUUCAUGUGGUUGAAUAAUUGGCCAAUGGAAGGAAUUUCUUUUUUGGUAACAGACUCUGUGUGUACAGUUAUGGGUCUUAAUUUAUAAUAAAAGGUUACAUUGAAAAUUGAGCAUAUUGGCAACUUUGGGCUUUAAUAUUACUACUGUGCUAUUUAGGUCCCAACCAUCCUAGCUAAUCUGGGCAUUCUUGAAACAGCUCUCAUUAUUGGUAUGUCAAACCGUCUCAUAGGGCAUGUACUUAACAAAAGUGGAGUGAAGGGUUCAGGAUGCAUAAAUGGGGUGAAGCUCGUGGUAUUCCAUUCCUUUUUACUGAAGCCACUCCUACCAGCUGCCUUCUAGAUUGUUCACCUUAUAUGAGCAUGGUGCAGUAUAGAAGUUGUAGACUUUGGCCUCAGACAGAUCUAAAUUCUAAUCUCAGAUCACUACUUCCUGGUUGAGGACAAGAUUUCUUUAACCACCCCAAGUCCCAAUUUUCUCAUGUCUAAAAUGGCAGAAAUAAUGUGUACUUUGCAGGGUUGUUGUGAGAGUUAAGUAAUAUGGGUAAUGCACUUGGGACAGUGCUUCACACAAAAUUGUCAGUAAAUGGUGAUCUUUCUUUUCCUGGCACUACAAAGCUGAGGAGAGGAGGGAGGGAGGGAGAUGAAUGUCUGGAGGAAGAAAGGGCAGGAGUUUCUUCAUCUUUGAGUGAAGGAGCAUUGAGGGUUAGCAGGGAUAUAGGAAUAGUGAGUUGGCUGGGAAGAAAAAAAGGAUUAAAAGAGGAAAAGAAUAGGAAAAAAGAAGGAUACCAUGGAGAAAAUGGGCAACGGCCCCAGAAAGAAGAGCAAGAAUGGCAGUGAUGGUGAGCAUUGCUGGAAUGAUGGAAGGUUCUCCGGCCCCGGUGAUGCGUGGGCACCACCGGAGAGCUUGUUAGAAAUGCAGAGUCUCUGUCCCUCCCCAGACCCUCUGAAUCAUAAUUUGCAAUUUAAUGAGAGGUCCCCAGGUGAUUCCCAUAUCCAUUAAUUCUGCAGAGUUGAUGUUUUCAUCUGCGGUGGCGGGGGGCGG